ensembl:snoRNA
CUUUAUUUGUAGAAGUACUGUGCUAAAAUUGCGGAAACUAAAUCACAUCUUGGGUUUUGUAAUGAUGCUAGCAAAGUACAUACAAGAAGAACAGGAACUGCACUAGAGUGUAAAGACUAGGGUGAGCCUCUCUCUUAAUGCUCAGUGUCUUUGUCUUAAGGUAGGAUGCACUACAU